rnacentral:rRNA from 1 species
GAUGAACGCUGGCGGCGUGCCUAAUACAUGCAAGUCGAACGAACGGACGCGACGCUUGCUUCUCUCUUGUUAGCGGCGGACGUGUGUGUCACACGUGUAUCCCCUCCCUAUCUUUCUGGUAUCACUUCGGGACACCGGCGCUAAUCCCGUAUAAUCUUUUGAUCCGCAUUGUUCAAUAGUGAAAUACGGUCUUUCUGUCUCUUCUCGCUGCAUCUCCGCUUCAUUAGCUGGUUGGUACGGUAACGGCUUACCAAGGCAACGAUGCAUAGACGACCUGAGAGGGUGAUAGGCCACACGGGAACUGAGACACGGACAAGACUACUAAGAGACGCAGCAGUAGGGAAGCGGACGCAAAGGGCGAAAGCAUGACGGAGCAACGCCGCGUGAGUGAUGAAGGUCUUCGGAUCGGAAAAAUCGGUUAUUAGGGAAGAACAGAUGUGGAAGGAAAUGUGCACAGCGUGACGGUAACUAAUCAGAAAGCCACGGCUAACUACGUG